AGUGAACGCUGGCGGUAGGCCUAACACAUGCAAGUCGAACGGCAGCACAGUAAGAGCUUGCUCUUACGGGUGGCGAGUGGCGGACGGGUGAGGAAUACAUCGGAAUCUACUUUUUCGUGGGGGAUAACGUAGGGAAACUUACGCUAAUACCGCAUACGACCUACGGGUGAAAGCAGGUGAUCUUCGGACCUUGCGCGAUUGAAUGAGCCGAUGUCGGAUUAGCUAGUUGGCGGGGUAAGGGCCCACCAAGGCGACGAUCCGUAGCUGGUCUGAGAGGAUGAUCGGCCACACUGGAACUGAGACACGGUCCAGACUCCUACGGGAGGGAGCAGUGGGGAAUAUUGGACAAAGGGCGCAAGCCUGAUCCAGCCAUACCGCGUGGGUGAAGAAGGCCUUCGGGUUGUAAAGCCCUUUUGUUGGGAAAGAAAAGCAGCAGGUUAAUACCCCGCUGUUCUGACGGUACCCAAAGAAUAAGCACCGGCUAACUUCGUG
rnacentral:rRNA from 1 species